CUCGCACUUCCCCGCCCCCGAGCUCCACCCGGACAUCCACCCGUCCUUGCACCCCGCCCCGCCCCGUCCCCCCGCUAAUCCCCAUCCCGAGAUCGAGCCGCCGUUCUCGCAAUCCAUAUCCAACCACCGCCCUCGCCCCCUCCCCUGACAUCCAGCUGUCGUCCUCGCCAAGCCCCGUCCCUGCUACUAGCGGGGAUCCAUCUCUGGACUCCCGCUGCUGCCGCACCUGCUGUUGCCGGGGCUCUAUCUCCGGGCUCCCGUUGCUGCCGGACCUGCUGCUACUGGAUCUGCUACUGCCGGGGCUCCAUCUACUUUGAGCUGCACCCCUCCCGAAGCCAGCCGUCGCCGUGCCCUAAGCUCUGUCCCUGAUACGCUUGAUGAAACUAUUCUAACACCAAGGGGAAGAGCCCUUUGUCCCUGCAUAUUUGCCUGUAUUCGAUGGUUUAGUUGUGAAUAGAUGCUUGAGGAAAUCCAUAUACGUGAAUAGCAAGUGACUAUAUAUGUUAAUUGUUUCACAUCGGUCAUGUUACUUGUAAUGCCAAAUUGUGAAGUUUGUUUUGUGUAAAAAAUACUCCAUUCCCCUGUCCUCCUUUUUCACUCCCCUUAUACUUUUCUCUGAUCCAGACUUUGUCGUUGAUAACAUUCUUUGGCAGUACUUAGGUGAAACUGCAGAACUAAGAUGGAGGGAAAGGGACAAUAUGACCAGACUCGAACAAAAUACAUCCAGAUGGUGUGUGAAGGAGUUGGGCGCAAGGUUUCUUCACUAGAGCUCCGACAUGUUCUGCGUAUUCAACUCUACAGCUAGGCCCCUCUUUUGUGAAGCUCUAAUAAUGUGAUCAAACAUUGCUAUCAUGCCAUGGGCCGGGAACCACGACCACCAGCAUGCAGCAUGGGCAAUGGGCGGAGAACGGAUGGCUAUGUUGCUGGGAACCAUGGUUGCGCACGUGCAGCAGAAAAUGAAUAAUGGACGGAAAGGCUACCUUACCGGGAACCAGGGCCAUGACUUGUAGUGGGCAAUUGGUGGCGAAUGGAAGGCUACCUCACCGGGUAACUCAACUACUAGGUACAUUUUUUGUUUCAAUAGUAAUUAGCUCACAUGCUAUUGCAUAUGAACAGUUUAUAAAAUGUCACUUUCCAAGGUUGCUAGGCUGUGUUAACACUAAAUUGCUUGUGUAUGUAUGUUUCAUGGUUUCCUUUUUUAUAAAUGGUUAUGUAGAUCUUAAUCAUGAAAAUCUGGAGAGGUUGUGAAAGAGGUUGUCUUUUCUCGAGUGAAUGCUUACGUAAGAGGCUAUAAAUAAGCUACUAGGUUGUAGGAUCUCUUUUUCA